GACGUAGGGCGCAAGCGUUGUCCGGAUUUAUUGGGCGUAAAGAGCUCGUAGGCGGCUCGUUGCGUCGGCUGUGAAAACCCGCAGCUCAACUGUGGGCUUGCAGCCGAUACGGGCGGACUGGAGUUCGGUAGGGGAGACUGGAAUUCCUGGUGUAGCGGUGAAAUGCGCAGAUAUCAGGAGGAACACCGGUGGCGAAGGCGGGUCUCUGGGCCGAUACUGACGCUGAGGAGCGAAAGCGUGGGGAGCGAACAGG
rnacentral:rRNA from 1 species